GCUUCCGUAGCUCAGUUGGUAGAGCACUGGCCUCUUAAGCCGGGUGUCGUUGGUUCGAGUCCAACCGGAAGCA
rnacentral:tRNA from 1 species